rnacentral:rRNA from 1 species
GUGGGGAAUCUUGCGCAAUGGGCGAAAGCCUGACGCAGCCAUGCCGCGUGAAUGAUGAAGGUCUUAGGAUUGUAAAAUUCUUUCACCGGGGACGAUAAUGACGGUACCCGGAGAAGAAGCCCCGGCUAACUUCGUGCCAGCAGCCGCGGUAAUACGAAGGGGGCUAGCGUUGCUCGGAAUUACUGGGCGUAAAGGGCGCGUAGGCGGACAGUUUAGUCAGAGGUGAAAGCCCAGGGCUCAACCUUGGAAUUGCCGUUGAUACUGGCUGUCUUGAGUACGGGAGAGGUGAGUGGAACUCCGAGUGUAGAGGUGAAAUUCGUAGAUAUUCGGAAGAACACCAGUGGCGAAGGCGACUCACUGGCCCGUUACUGACGCUGAGGCGCGAAAGCGUGGGGAGCAAACAGGAUUAGAUACCCGGGUAGUCC